GGGGGUCAAGGUGGCAGCACAAGGGGCAUUUACUUUCUGGCACAGAUCCAGGCAGUUGCUGUGUGGCUCUGGAGUUUCCUGAUCCCCAGAUCAGACAAUGAUGAUGUGAUCUUGCUGCUGCCUGCAUCCAAAUCUUCUUGUUUCAAAAAGCUAAAGUAGUUUCUGUUUCCUACAGCCCACCCUGUCUCUCCUCUUUCAGAACCGUGUCACACAACACUCACCUUAUGUGGCUAGUAUGGAACCUGGCCGUUCCCACGGUCAUCCAACGUCUGAGGCUGGGCCUUCCACCUCGUACCUGCCACCUAGCCCUGCCACUAGUGGGCAAACCUCAUGUUCAAACCCAUGUCACUGCUCUCUGCACCCUAGUAUCCUUGGUCACCUGGGUCUUGCCACUCCUCUACAGCCACCAUCCUCACUGCCUGCCACUCCUACUUGUGACCUACCCUCUGGGUGAGGCUCAGGGCUCGGCACAGCUGGAGACUUGGGGUAUCCCAAGGACAAACAGGGGCUGGGGGCUUGGAUGCCUGCCUUUGAAUCUCUCUUUUGGUGCAAAAAGUCAACAAUGGGCCUUAAGAAUAUAAGUUUUAUAUCAGACAAAGCUGAGGAUAUUUAUGUGAGGGAUCUUUCAUCUCCUUGGUGGUGGGACCUGUCUCAUUGGAACUGCCCAAAGCAGACAAGAGCACAAGGUGACAGACAGGAACUGCUCCACAGACUCUAAGUUUUCUUCUAUGAAGAGGCAAGGAUCAGUAAUAGAAUGUCAUUAAUGAGCAGAAAAGGAAGCUAUGAAGGAAUUUGGAUUUCAAAGAAUGAGGUUGUUACAGGGCUUGCUACCCGAUUUCUAACUGCAUGGCAACAGGUACUAGCCAUCCAUCACAGGAAUAAAAAAUCUGUUUUGAACAUAAUACCUGCUUGGAGUCAGGGUCUUGAGACCAGUGACUUCACCAUGGAGGCUGACAGCUCACGAUGAGCAGAUAAAUGCAAUGCAAUGAAAAACACAGCCAGCUCUAAGAAUCAGGAAGGACACAAGGCAAGGAAGAAGAGUUGGGGAUGAGGAGACUGCCAGAGAUGGUACACGUAGUCUAUGUCACUUCAAAAGACAAAGAUUCAGAACUAGAUGUUUAUUUUACUUGUAAGCCACUGGGUCAAUACAAAUAUUUCAAAACAAGCAAAAGUGGUUACCAUGAAUCUCACCAGACCUGGAAAGGUCAUGGUAACUUCCCUAUAGACAGGACCUUUCUCCUAAAUCACAUCCAGCCCUGAAACUUCCCCAAAAUUCAAACUUUAACUCCUUUGCGUCUCACCAGUCAGUAAUCCCAAGGUGGCUAUUACCAAAGCCACAGUCUGCGAUCUCUGUCUUGUUUGACCUCGGUCAGAAUUCCGUUUUUGUUUUUUUAAAAUAGAGGACAAAACCACAAGGAGCUACCACUUCACACCCACUAGGAUAUCUAUACACAAGACUAACAGGUGAGGAGAUGGGCGGAACCAGGCCCCUCAUACUCUGCUAAUGGGAAUGUCAAUGGCACGGUCACUUUGGGAAACAGUCUGGCAGUUCCUCAAAAAUUAAACACAGAGUUACCAUAUGAUCCCACAAUUCCACUCCAAGAGAACGGAAAACAUAUGACCAAACAAAAACUUGUACAUAAAUGUUCAUAGCAGCCUUAUUUUAGUUGGAACAACCUGUCCAUCAACUGAUAAAUGGAUAGAGAAAAUGUGGAAUAUUAUUCAGCCAUUAAAAGAAAUGAAUUACUGAUACACGCUACAGCAUGGAUGGACCCUGCAAACGUUAACUGAAAGGAACCAAACAUGAAAGACCGCAUAUUGUGUUAUUCCACGUGUAAGAACUGUCCAGAAUAGGCAUAUCUUUAGAGACAGAAAACAGACGAGUGGUCACUUGGGGCUGGGAGAAGGGAAUGGAGAGUGACUGUUAAUGGGUAUGAGGUUUCUUUUUUGGAUGAUGAAAUGUGCAGAACUCAGAUAUGGUGAUGGGUGCACAACACUGUGAAUGUACUAAAAACACUGAAUUGUACACUUUAAAAAACAUGAACUUUAUGCGUAUGUGAACUGUAUCUCAAUAAAGCUGUUAUUUUUAAAAAGGAAGAACAGGCUAUUAAGUGCUGGUAUUUACUGUUAAGGCUCUAACACUUCUAGGUUCCACAAAACGUACCUGAAUCACUCCCUCUGGCUGCUCGGUGAUUACUCAUGGCUGGAAGGAGGAAGUGGCUGAGAUACACAACGUGUACUGACAGGCUGACUUGGAAGUUCCUGAAGGUCCCAUUCACCUCCCCACACAUAACUUAAGGCACAGUCUGCAUUCCUCAGUCCUUAAUGCAAGGAGACCCACUCAAAAAAUGACUGAUUCUGCAGAUGAAUCACUGAAGUUUCUGUUUUCAGAAAACAGUAUUAUGCUUAUGACUAUCCUUUCCACUUUCACUAUUAGAAAAUCUAAGUGGUGAAUUUAUUGUUUCAAUCUUGUCCUUCCCCUGAAUCAGGGUCCUAAAAGUUAUUUACUUCCCC
ensembl:lncRNA